rnacentral:rRNA from 1 species
GACGAACGCUGGCGGCGUGCUUAACACAUGCAAGUCGAACGAGUGGCGAACGGGUGAGUAAUGCCUGGGAAUUGCCCAGUCGAGGGGGAUAACAGUUGGAAACGACUACUAAUACCGCAUACGAUUGGAUUGCCCAGGUGGGAUUAGCUAGUUGGUGAGGUAAUGGCUCACCAAGGAUACGAUCCCUAGCUGGUCUGAGAGGAUGAUCAGCCACACUGGAACUUAGACACGGUCCAGAAUCCUACGGGAGGCAUACGUGGGGAAGAUUGCACAAUGGGGGAAACCCUGAUGCAGCCAUGCCGCGUGUGUGAAGAAGGCCUUCGGGUUGUAAAGCACUUUCAGCGAGGAGGCGUUACUCGCAGAAGAAGCACCGGCUAACUCCGUGCCAGCAGCCGCGGUAAUUC